AAUCUCCUACAGCACAACAGAAGCCUGUCAUUGCAACUCUACGAGACUCUUUAACGAGACAAGUGAAGCAUUGGGAGGAUCGCGGGCAAAUCCCGCUAAGAAGCGAGAAAUAGAGGACAACUCAAAGAAGUUAGGCGCCCCCUAUUUGCAAAGCUUAAUAGUGGAGACAUAUCUAAAAAUGCUGCAGAGAAGCUCGUACAGCUUUGUCAAGCAUUGGACAAUGGUGAUUUUGGCACUGCCCUUCAGAUCCAGGUUCUCCUCACAACAAGUGAUUGGGAUGAAUGCAACUUCUGGUUAGCGACACUGAAAAGAAUGAUCAAGACCAGACAGAACUUCCGAUAAAUUAUUCGGGUCGUGAGUACUUGUGAUGUAGCAUCAAAUUGUAGUGUUGAUUCAUGUUCAAGUGAGAGCUCUGUACACAAGAAUUUAUAUGGUGGGAUAGCAUGCAGGUUCUUGUUUCACUCUUUGGGACAACAUGACAUCUUUUUGCUUCAAUUUCAUUGGAUUCUUUGAUAACAACUCCAACAUUAGAUGGUUUUAGACCGAGAGUUUCAAUUUUUUUUUUCUUUUUUUCUUUUUUGGCAAUUAUGAUCCACAUAUAUAUGUAGUGUUGAGAUGUAGAUACUCUUUUAUUUAACUAAGCACAGCGCACUGUUGUAAUUUUGUUAAAGGUUUGGCUAUGGAAACUACCUAUAUAUUUUGAUGA